rnacentral:rRNA from 1 species
AAUGAACGCUGGCGGCGUGCCUAACACAUGCAAGUCGGAUGUGCCGCAAGGUGCAUGGCAGACGGGUGAGUAACGCGUAGGGAAUCUACCUUUUUGUGGGGAAUAACGCUCCGAAAGGAGUGGUAAUACCGCAUGAGACCGUGAGCUGGGAUGUUCACGGUGAAACCUGGGGACCGCAAGGCCUGGGGCAAAAAGAGGAUCCUGCGUCUGAUUAGCUAGUUGGCGGGGUAAUGGCCCACCAAGGCGACGAUCAGUAGCCGGCCUGAGAGGGUGAUCGGCCACACUGGAACUGAGACACGGUCCAGACUCCUACGGGAGGCAGCAGUGGGGAAUUUUGCGCAAUGGACGAAAGUCUGACGCAGCAACGCCGCGUGGGUGAUGAAGGUCUUCGGACUGUAAACCCCGUCGUCAGGGACGAAGGUGGCAGUGUUAAUAGCGCUGUUACUUGACGGUACCUGGAGAGGAAGCCCCGGCUAACUCUGUG